rnacentral:rRNA from 1 species
CCCUUAGAUGUUCUGGGCCGCACGCGCGCUACAAUGAUGAAUUCAACGAGUUUAUAACCUUGGUUGAAAAGCCUGGGUAAUCUUUUGAACUUUCGUCGUGAUGGGGCUAGACCCUUGCAAUUAUUGGUCUCCAACGAGGAAUUCCUAGUAAACGCAAGUCAUCAGCUUGCAUUGAUUACGUCCCCGCCCUUUGUACACACCGCCCGUCGCACCUACCGAUUGAAUGGUCCGGUGAAAUCUUCGGAUUGAGACUUUGAUUUCUUCACGGAAAACGCUGUUUUAAAAAGUUGAUUAAACCUUACCAUUUAGAGGAAGGUGAAGUCGUAACA